rnacentral:rRNA from 1 species
ACUCCUACUGGAGGCAGCAGUGGGGAAUCUUGGACAAUGGGCGCAAGCCUGAUCCAGCCAUGCCGCGUGAGUGAAGAAGGUCUUCGGAUUGUAAAGCUCUUUUGCCAGGGACGAUAAUGACGGUACCUGGAGAAUAAGCCCCGGCAAACUUCGUGCCAGCAGCCGCGGUAAUAC